rnacentral:rRNA from 1 species
AGAGUUUGAUCCUGGCUCAGGGUAAACGCUGGCGGCGUGCCUAAAACAUGCAAGUCGCACGGUCCUUCGGGACAGUGGCGGACGGCUGAGUAACGCGUGGGUGACCUACCCUCUGGUGGGGAAUAACUGCCCGAAAGGGUGGCUAAUACCGCAUGAGCUCUCUUCAGUCAGUGGAGAGAGGAAAGCAGGAAUGUGCCAGAGGAGGGGCCCGCGUCCGAUUAGUUAGUUGGUGGGGUAAUGGCCUACCAAGACGACGAUCGGUAGCUGGUCUGAGAGGAUGAUCAGCCAGACUGGGACUGCGAACGGCCCAGACUCCUACGGGAGGCAGCAGUUAGGAAUUUUGGGCAAUGGCCGAAAGGCUGACCCAGCAACGCCGCGUGGGUGACGAAGGCCCUCGGGUCGUAAAGCCCUUUUCUGGGGGACGAUGAUGACGGUACCCCAGGAAGAAGCACCGGCUAACUACGUGCCAGCAGCCGCGGUAAUACGUAGGGUGCAAGCGUUGCCCGGAUUUAUUGGGCGUAAAGCGCGCGCAGGCGGUGACGUGCGUCCCGUGUGAAAUCGCCCGGCUCAACCGGGCGAGGUCAGGGGAAACGACGUGACUGGAGCGAGGGAGGGGGCAGUGGAAUUCCCGGUGUAGUGGUGGAAUGCGUAGAGAUCGGGAGGAACACCAGUGGCGAAGGCGACUGCCUGGACCUCUGCUGACGCUGAGGCGCGAAAGCGUGGGGAGCGAUCCGGAUUAGAUACCCUAGUAGUCC